AGAAUUGAGCAACGGGAUCAGAAUUGAACGUGGGAGAAAACAGGAGAGGAGAGGAGUCAGCGCCCAGAGCCAGCGCGGCUCUCACUCUCAAAGGAUUCUUUUAGGAGAAAACACAACCAGCCUCCUCCCACAGCCUGCUCCUGUCCCUCCUGAAAGCUGUCGUCUUUGAAGACUACGCUGUCACCUGGUGUGGGGGAGGGGUGGCUAGGACAUGGAUACAGAUAAAGGAGACAGUCACCCCAGCUGGAGUGUAGUGGCACGAAGCUGGCUCCCUGCAGCCUCAACUGCAGGUGUGUUAUGUCACCACCAUUUGCCGAUUACCCCACCUGAAGAAGGCCCCCCGGCCCUGACCUAUUACUUUCUAUCUUAGCACCCUGUUUGUUCACUUUGUAGUACUAGUUAUGAUUCAUAAUAUUCUA